CUACACGAGGCACCACUGUGGAUAUAGACACUGGGGCACACCGAUACAGACACGCCGCGCGAGUGUGAAGGGGCCAGGGUGUGUAGCUCUCUCUGCGAGAAGAAUAUUGACGCUACUCGCAGAGGAGGCCCCCCUAAAAUUGUGCCAGCAGCCGCGGUAAUAUGAAGGGGGCUAGCGUUGUUUUGAAUCACUGGGGGUAAAGCGCACGUAGGCGGAGAGAUAAGUUAGGGGUGAAAUCCCACGGGUCUACCCCGGAAAUGCCCUUGAUACUGUCACUCUCGAGUCUGAGAGAGGGGAGAGGAACUCUGAGAGUAGAGGGGAAAAUUUUAGAUAUUUGGAAGAACACCACUGGGGAAGGGGGGUCACUGGGUCGGUAUAGACGCUGAGGUGUGAAAGCGUGGGGAGCAAACACGAUUAGAUACCCUGGUAGUGCACGCCGUAAACGAUGAGUGAUAAGUGUUUGAGGGUUUCCGCCCUUUAGUGACGAAGUUAACGCAUUAAGCAUUCCGCCUGGGGAGUACGGUCGCAAGGCUGAAACUCAAAG
rnacentral:rRNA from 1 species